rnacentral:rRNA from 1 species
CAGUAGCCGCGGUAAUACGAAGGGUGCAAACGUUGCUCGGAAUUAUUGGGCGUAAAGCGCACGUAGGCGGCUCCGCAAGUCGGAUGUGAAAUCCCUCGGCUUAACCAAGGAAGUGCAUCCGAAACUGCAGAGCUUGAGUACUUAAGAGGAUCGCGGAAUUCCCGGUGUAGAGGUGAAAUUCGUAGAUAUCGGAAGGAACACCUGUGGCGAAAGCGGCUCACUGGACCACUUCUGACGCUGAUGCACGAAAGCUAGGGGAGCAAACAGGAUUAGAUACCCCCGUAGUCCCUGUCUCUUAUAU